CGCCUCCUGCCCCGCCCAUCAUAGGAGGUCUUGCCUGCACAAUGACCUGCGGGUUAAAUUGCCGCGGUACCCUGACCGUGCUAAGGUAGCGUAAUCACUAGCCUAUUAAUUGUUGGCCUGUAUGAAUGGCUCGACGCUGGUAACACUGUCUCUGUUGUGUUUUAUUGAAUUUGACCUCUUGGUGAAAAGGCCAGGAUGCCCCUAAAAGACGACAAGACCCUGUCGAACUUCAGGCUACCCUGCGACGGCUGAUAAGGCUUAAUCGCAGCAGAACCUUUGGUUGGGAAAACCGGGGACCAAACAAAACGUCCACCCCCACAACAGCUUAAGUCCAAGGAAAAGUAAGCUUUUUUGUUAAUCGAAGUGCGCCUGACAAGGCACAUUCAACUUUUGUCGGAUCCAAGGCCUCAAACCUUGAUCAUGGGAAAAGUUACCGCAGGGAUAACAGCGUAAUCCUCCCGGCGAGACCACAUUAAGGGGGGGGUUUGCGACCUCGAUGUUGGCUUAAGGCUUCCCAGAAGUGCAGGAGCUUCUAAAGGUUGGUCUGUUCGACCACUAACGCCUUACAU
rnacentral:rRNA from 1 species